AUAGACAAGUUUUCGUACGGUCACCGAAGUUAAACAACGUCGGACCUGCUCAGUACUUAGAUGGGUAACCACUUGGGAAUACCAGGUGCUGUAAG